rnacentral:rRNA from 1 species
GACGAACGCUGGCGGCGUGCUUAACACAUGCAAGUCGAACGGUAAGGCCCUUCGGGGUACACGAGUGGCGAACGGGUGAGUAACACGUGGGUGAUCUACCCUGCACUUCGGGAUAAGCCUGGGAACCUGGGUCUAAUACCGGAUAGGACCACUGCCUGCAAGGGUGGUGGUGGAAAGCUUUUGCGGUGUGGGAUGGGCCCGCGGCCUAUCAGCUUGUUGGUGGGGUGAUGGCCUACCAAGGCGACGACGGGUAGCCGGCCUGGGAGGGUGACCGGCCACACUGGGACUGAGAUACGGCCCAGACUCCUACGGGAGGCAGCAGUGGGGAAUAUUGCACAAUGGGCGCAAGCCUGAUGCAGCGACGCCGCGUGAGGGAUGACGGCCUUCGGGUUGUAAACCUCUUUCAGCACCGACGAAGCGCAAGUGACGGUAGGUGCAGAAGAAGGACCGGCCAACUACGUGCCAGCCGCCGCCGUAA